rnacentral:rRNA from 1 species
UACGAAGGGAGCUAGCGUUGUUCGGAAUCACUGGGCGUAAAGCGCGAGCAGGUGGCUUUAUAAGUUAGAAGUGAAAGCCUGGGGCUUAACCCCAGAACUGCUUUUAAAACUAUAAGGCUAGAGUUCGGGAGAGGAUAGCGGAAUUCCGUGUGUAGAGGUGAAAUUCGUAGAUAUACGGAGGAACACCGAUGGCGAAGGCAGCUAUCUGGAACGCAACUGACACUUAGGCGCGAAAGCGUGGGGAUCAAACAGG